rnacentral:rRNA from 1 species
GACGAACGCUGGCGGCGUGCUUAACACAUGCAAGUCGAACGGAAAGGCCCUGCUUUUGUGGGGUGCUCGAGUGGCGAACGGGUGAGUAACACGUGAGUAACCUGCCCUUGACUUUGGGAUAACUUCAGGAAACUGGGGCUAAUACCGGAUAGGAGCUCCUGCUGCAUGGUGGGGGUUGGAAAGUUUCGGCGGUUGGGGAUGGACUCGCGGCUUAUCAGCUUGUUGGUGGGGUAGUGGCUUACCAAGGCUUUGACGGGUAGCCGGCCUGAGAGGGUGACCGGCCACAUUGGGACUGAGAUACGGCCCAGACUCCUACGGGAGGCAGCAGUGGGGAAUAUUGCACAAUGGGCGGAAGCCUGAUGCAGCAACGCCGCGUGCGGGAUGACGGCCUUCGGGUUGUAAACCGCUUUCGCCUGUGACGAAGCGUGAGUGACGGUAAUGGGUAAAGAAGCACCGGCUAACUACGUGCCAGCAGCCGCGGUGAUACGUAGGGUGCGAGCGUUGUCCGGAUUUAUUGGGCGUAAAGGGCUCGUAGGUGGUUGAUCGCGUCGGAAGUGUAAUCUUGGGGCUUAACCCUGAGCGUGCUUUCGAUACGGGUUGACUUGAGGAAGGUAGGGGAGAAUGGAAUUCCUGGUGGAGCGGUGGAAUGCGCAGAUAUCAGGAGGAACACCAGUGGCGAAGGCGGUUCUCUGGGCCUUUCCUGACGCUGAGGAGCGAAAGCGUGGGGAGCGAACAGGCUUAGAUACCCUGGUAGUCCACGCUGUAAACGGUGGGUACUAGGUGUGGGGUCCAUUCCACGGGUUCCGUGCCGUAGCUAACGCUUUAAGUACCCCGCCUGGGGAGUACGGCCGCAAGGCUAAAACUCAAAGGAAUUGACGGGGCCCCGCACAAGCGGCGGAGCAUGCGGAUUAAUUCGAUGCAACGCGUAGAACCUUACCUGGGUUUGACAUGGGUCGGGAGUGCUCAGAGAUGGGUGUGCCUCUUUUGGGGUCGGUUCACAGGUGGUGCAUGGCUGUCGUCAGCUCGUGUCGUGAGAUGUUGGGUUAAGUCCCGCAACGAGCGCAACCCUUGUUCACUGUUGCCAGCACGUUAUGGUGGGGACUCAGUGGAGACCGCCGGGGUCAACUCGGAGGAAGGUGGGGAUGACGUCAAGUCAUCAUGCCCCUUAUGUCCAGGGCUUCACGCAUGCUACAAUGGCUGGUACAGAGAGCGGCGAGUCUGUGAGGGUGAGCGAAUCUCGGAAAGCCGGUCUCAGUUCGGAUUGGGGUCUGCAACUCGACCUCAUGAAGUCGGAGUCGCUAGUAAUCGCAGAUCAGCAACGCUGCGGUGAAUACGUUCCCGGGGCU